UACGAAGGGGCUAGCGUUGCUCGGAAUCACUGGGCGUAAAGCGCACGUAGGCGGAUUGUUAAGUCAGGGGUGAAAUCCUGGAGCUCAACUCCAGAACUGCCUUUGAUACUGGCGAUCUCGAGUCCGGGAAAGGUGAGUGGAACUGCGAGUGUAGAGGUGAAAUUCGUAGAUAUUCGCAAGAACACCAGUGGCGAAGGCGGACUCACUGGCCCGGUACUGACGCUGAGGUGCGAAAGCGUGGGAGCA
rnacentral:rRNA from 1 species